AGGACUACCGGGGUUUCUAAUCCUGUUUGCUCCCCACGCUUUCGCGCCUCAGCGUCAGUAAUGAACCAGGUCGCCGCCUUCGCCACCGGUGUUCUUCCCAAUAUCUACGAAUUUCACCUCUACACUGGGAAUUCCACGACCCUCUUUCACACUCAAGCCUGGCCGUAUUAAACGCAGACCCCAGGUUAAGCCCAGGAAUUUCACGCCUAACAAACCAAACCGCCUACGCGCCCUUUACGCCCAGUCAUUCCGAGUAACGCUAGCCCCCUUCGUAUUACCGCGGCUGCUGGCAC
rnacentral:misc_RNA from 1 species